rnacentral:rRNA from 1 species
AACGCACCUUGCGCCCCUUGGAAUUCCGAGGGGCACACCCGUUUGAGUGUCGUGAACAUCCUUCAACCUUUCUUUGGUUUCUCAACCAAAGGGAGGCUUGGACUUUGGAGGUUUUCGUUGCUGGCCUCACUUGAAGCCAGCUCCUCCUAAAUGGAUUAGUGGGGUCUACUUUGCCGAUCCUCGACGUGAUAAGAUGUUUCUACGUCUUGGGUUUCGCACUGUUGCUUUGGACUCUGCUUCUAACCGUCUUGGAUUCAGGACAGUUUAUGAACCUUGACCUCAAAUCGGGUGAGACUACCCGCUGAACUUAA